UACAGCCACAUCAUGUUGAAACACCAGUUCUUGUAUGAUCACCAAAGUUAAGCAAUGUUGAACCUAGUGAGUACCAAGAUGGGUGACCGUUUGGCAAUACCAGGUGCUGUAAG